AUGGGUCAGCACUGGUUAAUAGUAGUCUUAUGGUCAGCAUUGGCACUGCAUGUAGUCAAGGCUGGUUAUAGUCAGAUCACUUGACCUGUGAACUCAAGAUAUACCUGCACACGGUUUGCACUGCACUGCACUAGUACUACUGGAUCAUGGACUGGACAACACAGCUGGUUGGUACAAGGUGGAGAGUACGUACGUAGUACAGUGCUAGUGAUCAGUAGAAUCAUGACUUCCCGAACAGUGAUCACAAUAUCCCAGAGAGAAUUUCUUUAUUGGAUAAACAAUCACAAGAAACGGCACACCAGCUCUCAUUGUGACACUGUUCCUCGUGCUAGAACUAAAAAGCUGUCCACACGUAGGAAAUUAAGGCAGGCCUCUGGCUUCAGUAAAGAGUUUCACAAACAACAAGAUCUCAAAGGGAAGACUCUCUCAGAUAAAUCAAAAUUGAUGGCAGAGGCUUGGAGAAAAAUCAGCACUGCUGAUAAGGAAAAGUACAAUGUAGUAGCAAAAGAUAUUGAGGGUAGCAAUGAGCAGGAGGAUGAGGAGGAACUAA